UACGUAGGGUGCAAGCGUUGUCCGGAAUUAUUGGGCGUAAAGAGCUCGUAGGCGGUUUGUUGCGUCGGCUGUGAAAUCCCGAGGCUCAACCUCGGGUCUGCAGUCGAUACGAGCAAACUAGAGUGUUGCAGGGGAGACUGGAAUUCCUGGUGUAGCGGUGAAAUGCGCAGAUAUCAGGAGGAACACCGGUGGCGAAGGCGGGUCUCUGGGCCGAUACUGACACUGGAGGAGCGAAAAGCGUGGGGAGCGAACAGG
rnacentral:rRNA from 1 species